GACGAACGCUGGCGGCGUGCUUAACACAUGCAAGUCGAACGCUGAAGCUCAGCUUUUGUUGGGUGGAUGAGUGGCGAACGGGUGAGUAACACGUGAGUAACCUGCCCCCUUCUUUGGGAUAACGCCCGGAAACGGGUGCUAAUACUGGAUAUUCACUGGUCUUCGCAUGGGGGUUGGUGGAAAGGGUUUUUCUGGUGGGGGAUGGGCUCGCGGCCUAUCAGCUUGUUGGUGGGGUGAUGGCCUACCAAGGCUUUGACGGGUAGCCGGCCUGAGAGGGUGACCGGGCACAUUGGGACUGAGAUACGGCCCAGACUCCUACGGGAGGCAGCAGUGGGGAAUAUUGCACAAUGGGCGCAAGCCUGAUGCAGCGACGCCGCGUGAGGGAUGGAGGCCUUCGGGUUGUGAACCUCUUUCGCUCAUGGUCAAGCCGCAACAAUGGUUGUGGUGAGGGUAGUGGGUAAAGAAGCGCCUGCUAACUACGUG
rnacentral:rRNA from 1 species